GUCAUGAUGACACAAUAUUUAUGUUGACUAAUUAUCGACGUUGAAAUUGACACCGCCGAUUCUAUCGACCAAACGCAACAGCUCUAAGUCUAGCAUACACAUAAUUGCGUUCACUAACCUUUGCCUCAGGUUAUAAAUAACUUAAUAAUCACAACUAUCCACUACCUAAAAAGCUAUGAACAGCAGUCAUGCAAAUUUUCUCAAUUUGCUUUUCUAUUUCUACUAGCAAUUAUGUGAGCUGCAGUCUGGAUCCUGCCUCUGUCAGAUGACCUAACACAAAUGGAAAGAUGACAUCGGCCCUUGCAAGGACUUCAGACGAUGCCAGCACUGGACUACAUACAGUUGUAAUCAUGGGUGCCCAAACUUGUGCAUGUCACUGUACUGAUAUAUACUAUACAAAUAAUAUUUUCAGUAGUCCGUGUCAAAUUUUAUUUCAAGGUAAGAUAGCUUUACAUGUCUUUCAUUGUGCUUUAGUGAUCACACAGGCCCUGUUUAUGUUCUUAACCGGCAUGAGUUUAUUUAUUGUGAUAUACACAAAACAAGAUAUUUUGAUAAAUGAUGUUAAGUACACAGCUGCUCAUUUACUUCAAUAAAAUGUCUUUUUCCUAUUAUGGAAGUCAAUGGGUACCAUCAACUGUAUGAUUGACAUCAUUUAUCAGAUUAAAGAAUUUUUGGCAAGUUUAUAAC